UACGGAGGGGGCUAGCGUUAUCCGGAAUUAUUGAGCGUAAAGGGUCUGUAGGUGGCUUUUCAAGUCCGUCGUCAAAUCCCAGGGCUCAACCCUGGACAGGCGGUGGAAACUACCAAGCUUGAGUACGGUAGAGGGAGAGGGAAUUUCCGGUGGAGCGGUGAAAUGCGUUGAGAUCGGGAAGAACACCAACAGGCGAAAGCACUCUGCUGGGCCGUCACUGACACUCAGAGACGAAAGCUAGGGGAGCGAAUGGG
rnacentral:rRNA from 1 species